CUCUUAUCCAGAGAGGCGGAGGGACCGGCCCUGUGAAGCCUCAGCAACCGCUCUUUAGAGAGUGGAGACUAGUUUCUAAUUUCCUAGUAUCUAGUCUCUGAAAAGAAAGGUGCUAAAUCCGGCAGUAGGGAUAACGUUCUAGGUUAUCCAAUAUUCUGGAAGAUGAGAG
rnacentral:ncRNA from 2 species